rnacentral:rRNA from 1 species
GACGAACGCUGGCGGCGUGCUUAACACAUGCAAGUCGAACGGUAAGGCCCUUCGGGGUACACGAGUGGCGAACGGGUGAGUAACACGUGGGUGAUCUGCCCUGCACUUCGGGAUAAGCCUGGGAAACUGGGUCUAAUACCGGAUAGGACCCUGGGAUGCAUGUCCUGGGGUGGAAAGCUUUUGCGGUGUGGGAUGGGCCCGCGGCCUAUCAGCUUGUUGGUGGGGGGAUGGCCUACCAAGGCGACGACGGGUAGCCGGCCUGAGAGGGUGACCGGCCACACUGGGACUGAGAUACGGCCCGGACUACUACGGGAGGCAGCAGUGGGGAAUAUUGCACAAUGGGCGCAAGCCUGAUGAAGCGACGCCGCGUGAGGGAUGACGGCCUUCGGGUUGUAAACCUCUUUCAGCACCGACGAAGCGCAAGUGACGGUAGGUGCAGAAGAAGGACCGGCCAACUACGUGCCAGCCGCCGCAGUAA